rnacentral:lncRNA from 1 species
CACCUCGAUUUUUUUUUUUUUUUUUAAGGAAGAAACAGAAAGCAGCUGAUUCUGCUGUAGCAUGGUUUUCUUUCUUUUUUUUUAGCGAGAAGAGGCUGGAGUGUCUUGUGGAUCACAGAAAUUUCGCUUUGGUUUGGAGAACAGCUUUCCUCAGUGUCUUUGUGUUCCAGAAAGCAGCCCAGGAUCACAGGUAACCAACCAUAACUGCUACUGGACGAGUCCGGCGAUAACACAACCAGAACUGGAAACUUACUGUUUUCAUACUUCUCCGUGGAAGCCAGCUAACAAGCCAUGCACCUAUGUUCAAAUCAUCAAAUUGAAGGAUGAGCCAUACUAAAUUUGAAGAAAAGUGAAAACUUAAGAUGUUCUUUCUUGUUUUCCUUGGGG